rnacentral:sRNA from 1 species
GACGCAUUGCCUCUCAAAAAUCAAUACACCCUACGGAAUCAACGCAUUGAUGCCAUUUGAUCAUAAUGACAUGGAUCCAGAAGUAGUUAUGGCUCUUCUUAAAAAAUCAUUGGCCACUGAUGAGUUUUAUUUAGAUUGUAUUAUGCGCUUCACGGUAAUUUGUUUGAUAUUUAUCACUGUCGGCCUCAUUAUCUAAUAUUGAAAGAAUCUUUGGCUCAUCGAUCACACAAAUAAGUUACCUCACGCUCUUUUUCAAUUUUGUUACCAAAACCUUGUUUUUGUUUAAAAUAUCCUUUUUUUCUGGAAGAAACUCUCCACAUCCUCAUUUCAAGUUACAUUUGCAUGUUUUCUAUUGUUUUUUUUUUACAUACAUAUGUAUAAUUAUGAAGCAAAUAAAUUAAUUUACUGGCGAUAUUUCUGGAAAUAGGUGGCAUUUACGAUCUUCAUCCUGUAAUUAUUAUCUUGUUAUCACAUUCUGUUUUAUUCAAAGCUUACCCUCAAACUGAAAAAAAUUAUUCAAAAUUCUCCGUGACGUCACAGAAAUUCGAAAAUAUUUUCCCGCCAUUUUGUGUGCGGUGGGGCGAUGGGACAGCCUCCUCAAAAUUCUGGCAAUUUUGGUAUUCUUUGAAACUAUUGACACACCUGGUUUAGUUUUCAACUAUGAAACGUUUGUAGAGAAUAUAAUUAAUUGCUUUGUUCUCUGGAUCUUUUUUGAUAUCUCAGUAGAAAUAAAUUUUUAAAAAAUAUAUAUGAUAUUUAUUGAAAUCUUUAAAACAAUUAAAAUAUUUAUUCAGGGACCUCCAUGUCGUAGGUAUCUUCCGAUUCAAAAAUGCGAAGAGUUUUUGAUCGAAAAAUCUGAAAAAUCAAUAAAGGAGAAACUCAAACUGGUUAAGAAAUAUCAGCUGAAGAGUUUAAAG